GAUGAACGCUGGCGGCGUGCCUAAUACAUGCAAGUCGAGCGAACAGACGAGGAGCUUGCUCCUCUGACGUUAGCGGCGGACGGGUGAGUAACACGUGGAUAACCUACCUAUAAGACUGGGAUAACUUCGGGAAACCGGAGCUAAUACCGGAUAAUAUAUUGAACCGCAUGGUUCAAUAGUGAAAUACGGUUUUGCUGUUACUUAUAGAUGGAUCCGCGCCGCAUUAGCUAGUUGGUAAGGUAACGGCUUACCAAGGCAACGAUGCGUAGCCGACCUGAGAGGGUGAUCGGCCACACUGGAACUGAGACACGGUCCAGACUCCUACGGGAGGCAGCAGUAGGGAAUCUUCCGCAAUGGGCGAAAUCCUGACGGAGAAACGCGGCGUGAGUGAUGAAGGUCUUCGGAUCGUAAAACUCUGUUAUUAGGGAAGACCAAAUGUGUAAGUAAAUAUGCACGUCUUGACGGUACCUAAUCAGAAAGCCACGGCUAACUACGUG
rnacentral:rRNA from 1 species